UAUGGAGGGAGCUAGCGUUGUUCGGAAUUACUGGGCGUAAAGCGCACGUAGGCGGCUUUGUAAGUUAGAGGUGAAAGCCCGGGGCUCAACUCCGGAACUGCCUUUAAGACUGCAUCGCUUGAAUCCGGGAGAGGUGAGUGGAAUUCCGAGUGUAGAGGUGAAAUUCGUAGAUAUUCGGAAGAACACCAGUGGCGAAGGCGAGUCCCUGGACAACACCUGACACUGAGGCACGAAAGCCGGGGGAGCAAACAGG
rnacentral:rRNA from 1 species